rnacentral:rRNA from 1 species
CGUAGGGGGCAAGCGUUGUCCGGAUUUAUUGGGCGUAAAGAGCGUGUAGGCGGCCAGAUAGGUCAGCUGUGAAAACUCGAGGCUCAACCUCGAGAUGUCAGCUGAAACCAUCUGGCUAGAGUCCGGAAGAGGAGAAUGGAAUUCCCGGUGUAGCGGUGAAAUGCGCAGAUAUCGGGAAGAACACCCGUGGCGAAGGCGGUUCUCUGGGACGGUACUGACGCUGAGACGCGAAAGCGUGGGGAGCGAACAGGAUUAGAUACCCUGGUAGUCCACGCCGUAAACGAUGGGAACUAGGUGUGGGCGGUGUCGACUCCGUCCGUGCCGAAGCUAACGCAUUAAGUUCCCCGCCUGGGGAGUACGGCCGCAAGGCUA